GAUGAAGAACGUAGCGAAAUGCGAUAAGUAAUGUGAAUUGCAGAAUUCCGUGAAUCAUCGAAUCUUUGAACGCACAUUGCGCCCCCUGGCAUUCCGGGGGGCAUGCCUGUCCGAGCGUCAUUUCUGCCCUCAAGCACGGCUUGUGUGUUGGGUGUGGUCCCCCCGGGGACCUGCCCGAAAGGCAGCGGCGACGUCCGUCUGGUCCUCGAGCGUAUGGGGCUCUGUCACUCGCUCGGGAAGGACCUGCGGGGGUUGGUCACCACUAUAUUUUACCACGGUUGACCUCAGAUCAGGUAGGAGUUACCCGCUGAACUUAAGCAUAUCAAUAAGCGGAGGA
rnacentral:misc_RNA from 1 species